rnacentral:piRNA from 1 species
UCCGGAAAGUGGAAGGGGACAUCUGG